rnacentral:lncRNA from 10 species
AAAAAUCCAAAGUAUUAGCUGGGCGUGGUGGCAUAUGCUUGUAGUCCCAGCUACUCAGGAGGCUGAGGCACGAGAAUCGCUUGAAGCUGGGAGGCCAAGGUUGUAGUGAGCCAAGAUCAUGCCACUGCACUCCAGCCUGGGUGACAGAGUGAGACUCUGUUUCAAAAAAUAAAAAAUAAAAAAAAGGAAGCAGAGUGGGAGACAAGAAUAUAUGAGGUCUGUGGGCCCCUUCAAGCCUUCACGAUCCUUUGGCAUCCACUAAUAAUUUUUGAUAAAUCUAGAGUAUAAAAUAUUCUUGGUGACUGGGUCCACUUGGCUUUCUGGACGCCUGACCAACACUGUGGGUGGCAUAGUCCAUAGACUGUAGGUUUGGUUCAGGACCUGCCCUCCACCUCAAGUCCAGACUCACCACUGGCAGGUCAGCAUCUCAGGCCCUGGAUCAGAACAAGGAGCAUAUUAGGAGUCCUGGCUCUGGAAGGUGAGGUCUGGGGCCAGUUGUGUUUCCCCAGUCCAGGUUUCUAAGUACCUGGGGCUCACUCCAGGCACCUAGGGGACCACCAAGCUGCAGUCAGAGCUUCUACAGAGUUGUGUGAUACAGCAAUCCCAGCCUUCCUCUAACUCUUGCUCUAUCUGCCGUGACAUACAACUAAGCUGCUUCUGCCUUGGUUACCUGAUUUCACUGUCUUUUCAGUGGGCCUGAAGCCAGGCCCUGGUCUUCUUGCCUGACACCUUGGAGAACUGCGGUUAGCAUCUUCCAGAGGGCAGCCUGGGAUCCUGCACUCAAGCCAUAAUUCUGCCACUUAGCCUGACUGCCGGCCUGAGGACCCUUGGGUUAACCCACACUCACCAGGAAAGAGCCAACUCCAUCACUCAUGGAUUCAGCAGACCGGCCUGCACUCUCUCCACCACGCUGUGGGUACUCGUAGGUCUCACAGGAAGAAGCUGACAGAGGAAGGAGGAUUCAUAAGUACUCAUGGUUGAUUCAUGUGUUGACACUUACCCAUACCCUCACCAGUGUGGUUCAAGGUCUUACUGAUACUCCAGAAGAUACUACUCUCAACCCCAAAUGAUAAGGAAUUUCUUCGAACACAUCACUCCUCAGUUCAAAAAUUCCUCCUGGGCUUCUAGAUGUAGCUCCAGUGUUAGCAUCUGCAGAGAAGCUGUCCUUGACUACUCUACCCUCAUCUAUGCACCUCUCCUUUGACUCCUACACCACUCACCUGUCCUGCUCACCCCAGCCAUCACUUCUCUGAACACCACAGUAACAAUACUUGUCCUGAUUUAUAUGUGUUGGUUUUAUUUUCCCAAUGAGAUGUAAGCUCUGAAGGGCAGGAACAUGUUUUAUGUAUGUCUUUAUCAUCUCAGUUCCAAAACGGAGUAUGACUGCUCAAAUUGUCGAUGGAUUGAAAGACGGCAAAGAGGUCUAAACUAGGAGCUGGGACUCUAGGGUCUGAGUCUCAUCUCUGGCACAAUGACUCUGCAACUCUAUUUAAGUCUCUUAACUGUCAUUGGCCUCAUGUGAGAUGGAGACAAGGAGGUUUUGUCCCACCAACCUCUCUGCCUGGCUUAAACAACAGGAUGGACAAGAAAAGGCUUUGCAAACCAUAAAGCAAGAUGCAAAAUGAAAGGAAUUAAUAUUGUUCUAUUUUUUCAUCAUACAGAGGAGGUUACAUGCAGAGUUGGAAUACUCUCAGUGGAAAACAAGUAACAAUAGAAUUUAGGUACUUCAAAUAAAAGUUUUGACUUCAACCAAAGAGAUUCAAGUAUGAUUUAGAAAAUAUUAAGACCUCGUUUUGCUUUAGCA